UACGAAGGGGGCUAGCGUUGCUCGGAAUCACUGGGCGUAAAGGGUGCGUAGGCGGGUCUUUAAGUCAGGGGUGAAAUCCUGGAGCUCAACUCCAGAACUGCCUUUGAUACUGGAGAGCUUGAGUCCGGGAGAGGUGAGUGGAACUGCGAGUGUAGAGGUGAAAUUCGUAGAUAUUCGCAAGAACACCAGUGGCGAAGGCGGCUCACUGGCCCGGUACUGACGCUGAGGUGCGAAAGCGUGGGGAGCAAACAGG
rnacentral:rRNA from 1 species